CCCGCUGAGUUUAAGCAUAUCAAUAAGCGGAGGAAAAGAAACUAACAAGGAUUCCCUUAGUAACUGCGAGUGAACCGGGAAGAGCCCAGCUUGAAAAUCAGAGGUCUUCGGCCUUCGAAUUAUAGUCUGGAGAAGCGUCCUCAGCGACGGACCGGGCCCAAGUUCCCUGGAAAGGGGCGCCAGAAAGGGUAAGAGCCCCGUCGUGCCCAGACCCUGUCGCACCACGAGGCGCUGUCUACGAGUCGGGUUGUUUGGGAAUGCAGCCCCAAUCGGGCGGUCUAUCUAAGGCUAAAUAUGGGCGAGAGACUGGUAGCAAACAAGUACUGCAAGGUAAAGAUGAAAAGGACUUUGAAAAGAGAGUCAAAGACUGCUUGAAAUUGUCGGGAGGGAAGGGGAUGGGGGCCGGCGAUUCAUCCCGGUCGGAUGCAGAACGGAGCAAUCUGGUCCGCCGAUCGAUUUGGGCCGUGGACUAAUGCGAAUUAAAAUGGUGACCUAAGCCCGGGCUUUUGUUACACCUGCGGAGACGUCGCUGCUUUAAUCGUGGUCUGCAGCACAUGCCUCACAGCGUGCCUCAGAAUAUACGUGCUCAGGGCAUCGGCCUGUGGGCUCCCCAUUCGACCCGUCUUGAAACAUGG
rnacentral:ncRNA from 2 species